UCGAGAAAUGGUCCAAAUUUUUUUGCCGGUCGUCGGCGCUGAUGUUCCGGUCGGUCUGUAUUUUUUGGCCGUUCGCCGGCGUCGACGGUUACACGAGAUUUCUCGAACUUCUUGGCUACAAUUACAAUCAUUUUAGUUUAGAUGGCGAAUCGAGCACCGGUCGGAACAAAUAACUCAGCCUUCAUUGCUAGGAUUGCUGAUGAGAAAUAAUGGUGAAGCAAAUUGAAGAUGCUUUUAAAGAAUUCACCACAAGGGAGGACAUUGCAAAUUUGCGAUAGUGUUAAUCAGCCAAUAUGAGUUUUUAUUAUAUUUUCCCCUCUUGUUUUAUGGCAGCAUCCAUAGCAUC